GAUGAACGCUAGCGGCAGGCUUAAUACAUGCAAGUCGAGGGGCAGCACGGUUAGCAAUAACUGGUGGCGACCGGCGCACGGGUGCGUAACACGUAUACAAUCUACCUUAAACAGGGGGAUAGCCUUUCGAAAGAGAGAUUAAUACCCCGUAAUAAAUUGAACGGCAUCGUUUGAUUUUGAAAGCUCCGGCGGUUUGAGAUGAGUAUGCGUCUGAUUAGCUAGUUGGUGAGGUAACGGCUCACCAAGGCGACGAUCAGUAGGGGAUCUGAGAGGACUAACCCCCACACUGGUACUGAGACACGGACCAGACUCCUACGGGAGCAGCAGUAAGGAAUAUUGGUCAAUGGAGGCAACUCUGAACCAGCCAUGCCGCGUGCAGGAUGACGGCCCUAUGGGUUGUAAACUGCUUUUAUACAAGAGAAAACCCUGGUACGUGUACCAGGUUGAUAGUAUUGUAAGAAUAAGCAUCGGCUAACUUCGUGCCAGCAGCCGCGGU
rnacentral:rRNA from 1 species